rnacentral:pre_miRNA from 1 species
GAAAAUCACUGUUUUGUUAUUCUCGAUCAAUAACACAAUGACACGUGGAAAAGUUAUCAUACGUGUCAUUGCGUUAUUGACCAGAAAUAGCAAAAAGUGAUAUUUCC